rnacentral:rRNA from 1 species
AGGGAAUCUUCCGCAAUGGACGAAAGUCUGACGGAGCAACGCCGCGUGAGUGAAGAAGGCCUUCGGGUCGUAAAGCUCUGUUGUUAGGGAAGAACAAGUAUCGGAGUAACUGCCGGUACCUUGACGGUACCUAACCAGAAAGCCACGGCUAACUACGUGCCAGCAGCCGCGGUAAUACGUAGGUGGCAAGCGUUGUCCGGAAUUAUUGGGCGUAAAGCGCGCGCAGGCGGUCCUUGAAGUCUGGUGUGAAAGCCCACGGCUCAACCGUGGAGGGUCAUUGGAAACUGGGGGACUUGAGUGCAGAAGAGGAAAGCGGAAUUCCACGUGUAGCGGUGAAAUGCGUAGAGAUGUGGAGGAACACCAGUGGCGAAGGCGGCUUUCUGGUCUGUAACUGACGCUGAGGCGCGAAAGCGUGGGGAGCAAAC